rnacentral:lncRNA from 1 species
UGCUGGGGCAGGGAUGCAUUGCUGGGGCAGGGAUGCGCUGCUGGGGCAGGAGCGCCGUGCCCGCCUCGGGCAGCUCCGUCAGUGCCGCUCUGCGCUCCCACAGGCUCCGUCUGCCCAGGCACCGUCCCAGCCCUUUCACACACAGAACCGCCCUGGCUGGGCUGCUGGGAUGAUGGACCUGUGAGCUGUUCUAUUCCCCAAGAUUUCCUGCUGGGGCAGGUGGGCUGCUGUGCUUCUCCCCCAUCCUCUCCCAGCGAGGCUGGAGAUGCAGUGCCAGUACUUGUGCUCUGUUGGUCGGGUUUAGCCCCAGGAAAGGGAGGCUCUGUCUUUUUGCACGGGACUCCCGUGCCACUGGGAGGCAGGACACACCUCCAGCUGCAGCAGGUCUCGGAAAACAUCCACACACCUGCUGCUGAUGGAUUUUCCAGAACAAAAUGUUGUGGUUUUCUGCUGCAGUACUAUUUACUAUGCAGUUUGUACAGUCCACUGAGAUGGAACACAUCCACCAGCAGCCACACAGAGAUAUUGCUAUGGAGCUUCAAGCAGAGAGCUUUGGACACUGCCAUGACUGUGAGACGCUACCCCACCGUCUCCCCAGCUCCUGCUCCUUCCAGCACAAGGUCCCACUGGGCUGGCAGGAAGCCUCCAAGCUCUGGGCUCCUGGAGGUGCCAGGCAGAACCCAGCCACCAGCCCCUCCUGCUGCAGCACAGCUCAGCAGGGAAGAGGAGAAAGGGCUUGAAAAAUCACCAGCCA